UACGUAGGGUGCGAGCGUUGUCCGGAAUUAUUGGGCGUAAAGAGCUUGUAGGCGGUUUGUCGCGUCUGCUGUGAAAAUCCGGGGCUCAACCCCGGACUUGCAGUGGGUACGGGCAGACUAGAGUGUGGUAGGGAGACUGGAAUUCCUGGUGUAGCGGUGAAAUGCGCAGAUAUCAGGAGGAACACCGAUGGCGAAGGCAGGUCUCUGGGCCACUACUGACGCUGAGGAGCGAAAGCAUGGGAGCGAACAGG
rnacentral:rRNA from 1 species